rnacentral:rRNA from 1 species
GAUGAACGCUGGCGGCGUGCUUAACACAUGCAAGUCGAACGGAAAGGCCCAAGCUUGCUUGGGUGCUCGAGUGGCGAACGGGUGAGUAACACGUGGGUGAUCUGCCCUGCACUUUGGGAUAAGCCUGGGAAACUGGGUCUAAUACCGGAUAGGACCAUCGUUUAGUGUCGGUGGUGGAAAGUUUUUCGGUGUGGGAUGAGCUCGCGGCCUAUCAGCUUGUUGGUGGGGUAAUAGCCUACCAAGGCGUCGACGGGUAGCCGGCCUGAGAGGGUGUACGGCCACAGUGGGACUGAGGUACGGCCCAGACUCCUACGGGAGGCAGCAGUGGGGAAUAUUGCACAAUGGGCGCAAGCCUGAUGCAGCGACGCCGCGUGGGGGAUGACGGCCUUCGGGUUGUAAACUCCUUUCGCCAAGGACGAAGCGUUUUGUGACGGUACUUGGAGAAGAAGCACCGGCUAACUACGUG